rnacentral:rRNA from 1 species
GACGAACGCUGGCGGCGUGCUUAACACAUGCAAGUCGAACGAAGUGGCGAACGGGUGAGUAACGCGUAAUCAACCUGCCCUUCAGAGGGGGACAACAGUUGGAAACGACUGCUAAUACCGCAUACUGAAGGAGGGGAGUGCGUCUGAUGAGCUAGGUGGAGGGGUAACGGCCCACCAAGGCGAUGAUCAGUAGCCGGGCCUAGAGGAUGAACCGCCACAUUGGGAACUGGACCCGGCCCAGACUCCUACGGGAGUCAGCAGUGGGGAAUCUUUCGCCAUGGACGAAAGUCUGACGGAGCAACGCCGCGUGAGUGAUGACGGCCUUCGGGUUGUAAAGCUCUGUUAAUCGGGACGCGUUACCGGAAUAGAAAGCCACGGCUAACUACGUGCCAGCAGCCGCGGUAAUUC